CACGAUCUCUUCCUCUUCCUACUACUCAUCUUUCAUAUACUAAAUCGUUCUCUAAGUUCACUAAUAUUAAAAUUUCCGGUGAACCUCUUCCUGUUUAAGUUUAUCCUCUGAACUUUAUAAGUUCUUUCCUCUUGAUAUAUUGGCUUUGAAACUCAUAAUGAUCAAACUUUUUCCAAAACUUUAGUUUAUGGGAGAUGAUUUCGUUUUUGAUUUUGUUUGUGGAUUCUUUUAAAUUUAUUCAUGUAUUGAUUAUCAUUUUUUAAUUCAAAAGCUUCGUUUAUGGGAGAUGAUUUAGAUUUCGAUUUUGGUGGUUGAUUUUGUUUCAGUUUUCUUUUAUUGUUUUUUUAAAUUCCUCUCCCUUUGAUAAUCUCCUUUAUGCUUCCCCUUCGAUUGCUGUUCAACGAGUCACAGAAAAGUAAAGCACUUUAUUGGCCUUUCACUGAAUUUUGCAGCUACGUAUUAUCUUUCUCAAAGUUUAUUGAUGAUCACAUCUUUGUCAGCUUCGUUUAGAUUCCACUCAAGUUAGGGGUAGUCAAAGAAUCUUUUUUUUUUCUCUUGAAUUUGAUACAGGUGACCAGCUUGAUAACAGGUUCGUCUUUUGCCAAAGAUUCUGACUUUCUUCAACAGAUUCAAACAAAGAGGGUUUAAAAGGAUAACACAAAGUCGUAAAGAAGAAACUAUGGCAUCUCAAUGUGCCAGUGCUAUGGUUGAGAUCAAUAUAUUGCCGUAUAAGAUCAACUUUGUUAUUCACUUAAUUUGUAUCCAAGCAUCCGUUUCUUUCGUAAUAAAGUGUGUAGUCUAUAAUAUCAGUGAUUUGAUUAGAAUCGUGAAACUAAUGCUGUAUAACAAAAUUAUUCACUGCUUUUUUUUUU